rnacentral:rRNA from 1 species
UACGUAGGUGGCAAGCGUUGUUCGGAAUUAUUGGGCGUAAAGCGCGCGCAGGCGGUCCUUUAAGUCUGAUGUGAAAGCCCACGGCCCAACCGUGGAGGGUCAUUGGAAACUGGGGGACUUGAGUGCAGAAGAGGAAAGCGGAAUUCCACGUGUAGCGGUGAAAUGCGUAGAGAUGUGGAGGAACACCAGUGGCGAAGGCGGCUUUCUGGUCUGUAACUGACGCUGAGGCGCGAAAGCGUGGGGAGCAAACAGG